CACUGGUGGCUCAGCAACAGAAGGGCACAGACAGAACACUGCUAGAAAACCCUCUCAGGAUGACGGUUUGAAGGAGGACAAGGAAGAGAAGGUGGCGAGCUGGGGUUACAGACGCCUGCUGCCAUGUGUGGCCUUUGACGUGGGUCCUGAGUGUCAAUCUGCUCAGCAAGAGCGUUCACCUGCGCAAUCAUCUUGCCAGGCCAAUACUUCUCUAAGGUGGUUGGAGGACCAUAUAAACACUACCGGAGUUAGUCACCUGACAUUCUAUGCCAGACUUGGUGACAAGACCAUGAGGACACGAACCUUCAGCACGUGAAGAAGAGGUAGAGGGACCAUAUGGCUACAGCCAGGAAGCCAGAGCCUGACAGAGCAAGGCAGGCACAGAGAGCCAGUCUCGGGCUCUCCUGGACACCUUCCUACUAGCACAGGGACCCCUUCACACUGGACCUGUCAAUCACAGUGCUCUCUCUUAGCUCAGAGACACACAAGGUCUGGCUACGUGCAGUGUGGGGUAAGUAGCUCAGGCAUAUAGGAAUAACAAUAGCCUGGUUACAAGUAAAUGUAGAAACCUAUAUCUGGGCUGGAGAGAUGGCUCGGCAGUUGAGAGCACUGGCUGCUCCUGCAGAGCACUUGAGUUUGGUAUCUAGCACCAACAUGGACUGGCUCCCAACUGCCUGCAACCCCAGCCCCAGAACAAAUGCCAUUUUCUGGCCUCCAUAGGGACCUACAUGCACAUGGCAUGUAUACAGCACACAUGCACACACACACACCAAUCCUGAGGUACUGGAGAGAUGACUCAGUGGCUAAGGGUACAUGCUGCUCUUACAGAGCACAUCACACCAGCAGCUCACAACUGUCUGUAACUCCAGCUCUGGGGGAUCCACCCCUCCAGGAUCCACAGGUAACUAUACUCAUGUGCACACACAAACACUGAGAAACACACACACACAAUUACAAUAAAAUUAAAUCUUAAAAAAGGUUUUCAUUAUGCAGUCAGGCUAGAACUAACAAUCCUCCUGCCUCACAUGGGAUUGUAAAUAUGUGCCAGCUGGAGCCUCUUCACAUUGGAUUCCUACAUAAGCCUCUGUGCACGUGACAAUAGGGACUGCAUGGCCAUGGGGAGGCUUUUGUGACCCUCUAAGCACGGCAACUGAGGAACCCACAGGGAAACAAGAUUCUUUGGCUCCUUUAAGAUUCUGCUUGCCUGAGCUGCAGGAAAAGGCUGGACCAUGGGGAAGCCCCAGCUACUCUCAAAGGUCACUCAACAAUGACAAGAGCCCAGCAGGGUCAGGACAGAAGAGUGAGGAGAGACCAGGGUCCCAGAGGGCUUUUGGCCCCGUCCAUCAUUAGUAUCCUCUGCAUGGAUGCUGGUACGAACCUCAGAUGCCAGCGUCAUGCAUGGGCACUGGACCUGAGACAUGUUUAGAGAGGAUCUUAAAAUAAUCCAAUCAAACCACCAAAUUAUCUGCUUGUGGCAGAAGUGCGCCCGAGUGGCUGUUCUUGUGAAGAAACAGCUCUUUGAUCAUCUCAAGAGGCUUCCUCAGCUGCCCAGACAGUUCUGGGUAGAGCAAAGAGGCUGCCUGUCUCUUUUUAGCAAGACAUGGCCAUCAGUGGUCCACCUGGGAAAACACAGGCAGACGGCGGACAAGAAAGGGACAGCAAGUUCAACAUGGUACUGGGGCUUCUUACCUACAUAUUCCGAGAGGAAGACGACAAAGAACGGAGUGACCAGGUCAUUAAUUCCCUGGACAUACCCACUGGCGGGGUGUCGGAUGGCCCAGAUAAACAGAAUUCGUUCAAAGAUCUAAGAAGACGA
rnacentral:lncRNA from 1 species